UGCUGAUAAAUUACUGUCGCUGUCAAAAAAACAAAUAAACGAAAAGCCUUAAAGCCAGAAGAAUAAAACGUGGGCGACAAAUAAAGAAUUUGUGGGCGAUAUAGAACAUCAUAAGGACUACCCCAAUGGCUCUGAUGAAAAGUCAAAUAUCAAACAAAAUCACAGCUUCAACAAAGAUAAAAAUGGAGCGGGAGCCGGUAGGUACGAGUAUUAUAUUGAUUCCAUCUGGCGCCAUCAAAUCAUUCU